rnacentral:misc_RNA from 1 species
GUUUCAAAUGCCAUUAUAGCAAUAGUACAUUCUGAUACUUGAAAGUGUGUGUGUAAAAACAGCAGUCUGGGCCGACUGGACCAGACUACCAAAGGUGCACAGGUGUAUGUGGAGUGAGCAGGGCGUGCACUUGCCUCCAAGAAGGCCAGCAACAACCCCUUUCAGACUCAUUAAUGAUCCUUCCGCAGGUUCACCUACGGAAA